UACGUAGGGUGCAAGCGUUGUCCGGAAUUAUUGGGCGUAAAGAGCUCGUAGGCGGUUUGUCGCGUCUGCUGUGAAAACCCGAGGCUCAACCUCGGGCCUGCAGUGGGUACGGGCAGACUAGAGUGCGGUAGGGGAGAUUGGAAUUCCCGGUGUAGUGGUGGAAUGCGUAGAGAUCGGGAGGAACACCAGUGGCGAAGGCGACUCGCUGGACCGGUCCUGACGCUCAGGCGCGAAAGCGUGGGGAGCGAUCCGG
rnacentral:rRNA from 1 species